rnacentral:rRNA from 1 species
CCUACGGGAGGCAGCAGUGAGGAAUAUUGGUCAAUGGGCGAGAGCCUGAACCAGCCAAGUAGCGUGAAGGAUGACUGCCCUACGGGUUGUAAACUUCUUUUAUAAGGGAAUAAAGUGAGGCACGUGUGCCUUUUUGUAUGUACUUUAUGAAUAAGCAUCGGCUAAUGCCGUGCCAGCAGCCGCGGUAAUACGGAGGAUCCGAGCGUUAUCCGGAUUUAUUGGGUUUAAAGGGAGCGUAGAUGGGUUGUUAAGUCAGUUGUGAAAGUUUGGGGCUCAACCGGAAAAUUGCAUUUGAUACUGGCAGUCUGGAGUACAGUUGAGGUAGACGGAAUUCGUGGUGUAGCGGUGAAAUGCUUAGAUAUCACGAAGAACUCCGAUUGCGAAGGCAGCUUACUGGACUGCCACUGACACUGAUGCUCGAAAGUGUGGGUAUCAAACAGGAUUAGAUACCCUAGUAGUC